rnacentral:rRNA from 1 species
AUUGAACGCUGGCGGCAGGCCUAACACAUGCAAGUCUAACGAGUGGCGGACGGGUGAGUCAUGUCUGGGACACUGACUGAUGGAGGGGGAUAACUACUGGAAACGGUAGCUAAUACCGCCUACCAUCGGAUGUGCCCAGAUGGGAUUAGCCAGUAGGUGGGGUAAAGGUUAACCUAGGCUACGAUCCCUAGCUGGUCUGAGAGGGUGCCCAGCCAGACUGUAACGGAGACACGGUCCAUACUCCUACGGGAGGCAGCAGUGGGGAAUAUUGCACAAUGGGCGCAAGCCUGAUGCAGCCAUGCCGCGUGUAUGAAUAAGUCCUGCGGGUUGUAAAGUACUUUCAGCGGGGAGGCGUUACCCGCAGAAGAAGCACCGGCUAACUCCGUGCCAGCAGCCGCGGUAAUAC